GUACCUUAUUCUGUGACAGGGUGUCCCAAAACUAUUGACAUAGCGUAUAUUGUUAGAAUUUGAAUGUCUCGGCACUUUGCUGAACCUACAAGUGCAUAAAAGCUUGACAUAAGUAAAUGUUAUGCAUAAAGAAACUGGUUAAGAAGCUGCUUUAAAUUCCCAGCCGUAGGUUCAACAAAGUGCUAUAUACAUUCUUAUUUCAAGAAGAGCUUGAUUUCUAAAGGUCUUGUGUUUUUUAUACACCCUGUAGUUGUAAUACUACAUCAUUGCGUAAAUAUUAGUUUAUUUAUUUUUUUGUUUUUAAAAGAGAGGGGUCCAGAUUUGACACCGCUACAACUACCUCUCACUGACUCAGUAAGUACAGUAUCUGAUUGGUUAAUCGGAUAUAUCAAACGCAUCUGAUUGGUUAAUCGGAUAUAUCAAACGCAUCUGAUUGGUUAAUCUCCCUUAAUGGUAGCGGUAGUGGAAGUCAAAUCUGAAACUCUCUAACAAUAUGAAUAUUACAAAACAAUGAGUGACUGGACGACAUGGAAAACAAUGAAAAGACAAUAGAACAUUCCGAUCACUGGAUCGUACAGCUAGUUUUCGGUCUACAGGGUGUACCGAAAAAAAGUAUACCUUUUAAAAUUGUCCUAUUGUAAUAAUUUGAAUGCCUGAGCAUUAUGCUGAAUCUACAGAAGCGUAAAACACAGUUUGUAUUGAAAAACGAGACCUAAAUAACACUACGAGAGGUUCAUAGUCACGGAACGUCUAUACUGCACUUUAAUUCCGAAAGCUAUUUGAAUCAUUUUCCAGAAUCUCCUAUUUACUAUAUUACAACUUGCCUACUUUAUAAUGAAACUUUUAAAAACAAAGAAUGAUAUACGAU